CGCCCCGCCCCGUGAGCGCGCACCUGCCGCGGCUGGUCCGGGGUGUGGGAGGUUCGUCCGGCACCUGGGACCGGUUACUGGGAGCCGGUCACUCCGGGGCCCACCCUCACAGGACUCACCCUGAGGAGAGUCGCUCACUCACCCAUCAGUCACCCGCUGUCCGUCACCUACAGAGCGUUGUCACCCGGGAGGUCACCCAUGGAGGGCCGGUCAGUCACCCGGGUCCGGGGCGAUCUCCUGAGGUGAUCUCCUGCCUUGGCAGAGGAGGGCACGGUCCGAUGGGCGGGCAGUGAGAGCCCGAGGCUGCCGAGGUCGCAGCAAACACAGGUCCCUGCUGAGGGGUGGGUGCGAAGAGCUCUCGGGUGUGGGAGGGGCGGGAUGCUGGUGGAAAGCUCAGAGUGCCCCCGGGCACUGUGGAAGCUGAAGGAGUACACGGGGUGGACCCUUGUGAUGUGUUUCUUUAGACCUCCACGCAGCAGCUAUCGGGCAGUUUACCUUUUGAAAGAUCACAGAAUCACGGGAUGGGCAAGGUUGAAAGAUAUCACAGCAGCUUUUCUGGUCCAACCUCCCUGCUCAAGAAGGGUCACCUGAGUGGCACAGCACUGUGUGCUGACAGUUCUGGAAUAUCUCCAGGGAGGGAGACAUCAUAACCUCUCCGGGCAGCCUGUCACUAGUCAGACGUGGAUGAAAUCUUCCCUGUCAGCCCAUUUGUCUGUGUGCUUGGUGAGCUUUGCCACAAGUGACCACAAUGUUUCUUCCUCUCAAGCUGGGCUCUGUCAUGGCAGCGAUGCUUUGGUGGCCACGUCCCAGCCAUGAGGGUGGGCUCUAUGCCACAACCAGUAGUUCCAGAGUUUGGUAGCUGAGGUCUCUCAACAAUUGUCCCUCAAUGUUGUCUAAUUUGGAUGACUUUCUUCACUUAGAGGGAAAAUGUUUGCAUAGCCUAUAUUUCUCUUUCCUAUUUAGGCUUGUAUUUCCAGUGAAGUUACUUCAAGUUGAUAUAAAUCCCAUCCUCUUCAGUGGGAGGUACAUCUGCUGUCAUGAAUCCCCAGCAUCUCCAAAUACAGCCUGAGGCAGACAAGUUUCUGAACUUCCCCACUAGCUCUGCCAUCCUUGACCACCCCUCCUACUCCCUGCCCCAGUUAAGACUAUUGUUUUUAACCCAUCUCAUGAGUUUUGUUACUACUUUCUUUCUUUUGAUGUUUAUAAAGACUUUUUUACUACCAGUAUGAGCAUCCUUUGCAAGCUGUUCUUCAAAUUAUUUUCUAGUCCUCAUUCCCUGCCAUGAUGUGAUCUGCAGGGUUUUAGAGCUUUCUGCUCUCUUUAUUUUGGUCUCCAUGAGUUCUGCCCCCUCAUUAUCAAAGGAAUUGCUUUGGGCAGAGAUCAUACUAGAGCCUGUCACAAGACACUGUCAAACCACAAAUGUUUAUGAAUGUUAAACACAUUUAGGAAAGCUGGUACGUACUGAUAAUAGCUGUGUCUGUGCAUUUUAAAUUUUGAUACUGUUUUUUCUGCUUAAUUUAGCAAUGAAAUUGUCCUUGGAUUAAAAUAUUAUUUUUAAUUGCAA